AGUGAACGCUGGCGGUAGGCCUAACACAUGCAAGUCGAACGGCAGCACAGUAAGAGCUUGCUCUUACGGGUGGCGAGUGGCGGACGGGUGAGGAAUACAUCGGAAUCUACUUUUUCGUGGGGGAUAACGUAGGGAAACUUACGCUAAUACCGCAUACGACCUACGGGUGAAAGCAGGGGAUCUUCGGACCUUGCGCGAUUGAAUGAGCCGAUGUCGGAUUAGCUAGUUGGCGGGGUAAAGGCCCACCAAGGCGACGAUCCGUAGCUGGUCUGAGAGGAUGAUCAGCCACACUGGAACUGAGACACGGUCCAGACUCCUACGGGAGGCAGCAGUGGGGAAUAUUGGACAAAGGGCGCAAGCCUGAUCCAGCCAUACUGCGUGGGUGAAGAAGGCCUUCGGGUUGUAAAGCCCUUUUGUUGGGAAAGAAAAGCAGCAGGUUAAUACCCCGCUGCUCUGACGGUACCCAAAGAAUAAGCACCGGCUAACUUCGUG
rnacentral:rRNA from 1 species